rnacentral:rRNA from 1 species
UGGAUGAUGUGGUUAAUUCGAUGCAACGCGAAAACCUUACCACCUUUGACAUGUACGGAAUCCUUUAGAGAUAGAGGAGUGCUCGAAAGAGAGCCGUAACACAGGUGCUGCAUGGCUGUCGUCAGCUCGUGUCGUGAGAUGUUGGGUUAAGUCCCGCAACGAGCGCAACCCUUGUCAUUAGUUGCUACAUUCAGUUGGGCACUCUAAUGAGACUGACCGGUGACAAACCGGAGGAAGUGGGGAUGACGUCAAGUCCUCAUGGCCCUUAUAGUGGGGCUACACACGUCAUACAAUGGAUGGUACAAAGGGUCGCCAACCCGCGAGGGGGAGCCAAUACCCAUAAAGCCAUUCGUAGUCCGGAUCGCAGUCUGCAACUCGACUGCGUGAAGUCGGAAUCGCUAGUAAUCGUGGAUCAGAAUGUCACGGUGAAUACGUUCCCGGGUCUU